AUGGCCGGCGGAAUUGUGACCGUGGCUGGCGGGGUGAUGAACCCCCUCAUCAGCAAGCUCACCACACUCAUGGGCGAUGAGUACAAGAAGUUCAAAGGGGUCAGGAAGCAGGCCUCAUUCCUCCAGAAGGAACUCAGCGCCAUGAACGCUGCCCUUCACAAGCUAGAGCUCAUUGAUGAGAUCAAUCCAACCAUUAAGGACUGGAGAGAUGAUGUCAGGGAGAUGGCAUACGACAUGGAGAAUUGCAUCGAUGACUUCAUCCGCCAAUCUCGAGCUGAUAAUGCCAAGGGAGGCUUUAUCAAGAAGACUGCUCGAUGCGUCAACAAGUUGCGAGAGCGAAUUCGGAUUGCGCACCAGAUGGAAGAACUGAAGACUCUCGCAUUAGAUGCAAAGGAUCGGCACGAGAGGUAUGAAAUUGAUAAUUGGAAGCCUGCCUCUGGCUCUGUGGUUGUAGAUCCUCGGUUGCGGGCAAUCUACGAGGAGGUAGAUACUCUAGUGGGCAUUGAUGUCCCAAGGGAGGAGAUUUCCAUUCGGUUGAUGGAUACUCAGAAGAAACUCAAGGUGGUGGCCAUCGUGGGUUUUGGUGGUCUUGGUAAAACUACAGUUGCCAAGCAGGUUUACGACAAGAUUGCCUCACAAUUCAAUUGCAAGGCAUUCUUUUCAGUUUCACAGAGGCCUCAUAUGGCUGAAUUACUCAACAAUUUCCAACUUAAACUAGGGAUGAACGGUCCCCGUUCAUCUCACACUCGCAAGGUUGAAGACAUGAUUGAAGAGAUACGGGGGCAUCUCAACAAAAAGAGGUACCUUAUUGUUAUUGAUGAUGUGUGGGAUAAAUCCUCAUGGAAUAUUCUUAAGUGUGCUCUCCGCGAAGAUAAUAAUGGAAGUAGAGUAAUAGUUACAACCCGAUUGGUAGGUGUGGCAAGUGCAGCCUGCCAGAAUGAUUGUGAGGGAAUUUACAGACUGAAACCCCUCAAUGAACAAAACUCAAGAAUGUUAUUUUUGAAUAGAAUAUUUGGGUCUGAACAUGGUUGUCUAGUCCAACUUAAAGAAGUCAUGGCUGAUAUUUUGAAGAAGUGCAAUGGAUUGCCACUUGCACUUAUCACAAUAGCUAGCCUAUUAGCUAGUGAAGAAAGAUCAAUAAAGGGUUGGGAGAGUAUAAGGGAUUCUUUGGGUGCUUUGUCUGCCACAAAUCCCACCUUGGAAGAGAUGAAGAGUAUAUUAUACCUUAGCUACAAGCAGCUUCCUGCUCAUCUGCGGGCAUGUUUGUUGUACCUUGGUAUGUAUCCUGAAGACCGUGAGAUUUCAAGGGAUGAUUUGGUUCGACAGUGGAUAGCUGAAGGGUUACUAGUUCAUAAUUUGCAUGUGACAGAUCUAGAGGAUUUGGGGAGGAGUUAUUUCAAUGAGCUCAUCAACAGAAGCAUGAUUGAUCCUUGUAAAACUGAGUAUGGAGAAGUGUUGUCUUUCAGGGUGCAUGAUAUAAUGUUAGAUUUUAUCCUAAGCAAGUGUGAUGAAGAUAACUUUGUAAGUGUAGCAAACAAUUGUGAAGACAUGGCAAGUUUGCAUGGCAGCAAAUACAAGGUCCGUCGAUUAUCUCUGAGAGGAGAAACAUAUGGCCCAACUAUUGAUGUUAGCCUAUCACAAGUUCGAUCAUUUACACAGUUUGGAAAGUUCAUGCCUCCUCCUUUGCUGUUCAAGUAUCUCCGAGUGUUCAGAAUUGAGGGAUACAUGGAAUCACUUGACCUCACUGCUAUUGGUGAAUUAUUUCAACUGAGGUAUUUGCAUGUUUCACGAGUAUAUUCUGUGAAGCUCCCUGCUGAACUUCAAGGACUUGUUUACUUGGAGACACUGGACUUAGAUGAUGCACGAAUCAAGAGCAUGCCAUCAGAUAUAGUCAGUUUGUCGCGUUUAUCCUAUCUUCAUAUUUGGAUGGAAGUAGAGCUGCCUGAAUUUAUUGGCAAUAUAAAAUCACUUCGUAGUCUGAUAAUACAUAGAAACGAGCUGACCAGUGAUCCGUUAUCAAAUUCGAUGAAGGUUAUCAUAGGUCUUGGUGAGCUCAUCAAUCUAAGGGAAUUGGAGAUCCAAGUGGAGUCUUUGGAUAAGGCAGAACAUGAUGCUUUGGCCUGCUCCAUUGGAAAACUCAAUAACCUCAAAAAUCUCAAAUUUUUAGGGCGUCAUAUGGAAGACAAUAAUCAACUGGGAUCAUUAUCCAAACCUUUUCAACAUAUAGAGAAAUUUGACGGUUAUAUAUGGAAAUUUCGUAGAGUUCCAUUAUGGAUGGGUGGUCUCCGUUACCUUCGCAUCCUUGAUCUGCGUGUGGAGGAGACCUCAACGGAGGAGUUUCAUGUUCUUGGUGAGCUUCCCUCCCUCGUUGAACUCAAAUUCAGAUCAUCACAUAUCCCUACAGAAAGGGCUAUAUUGGGUAUGGGACUAUUCCCAGUUCUGGAGUAUUUUGAGUUUUCGUCCAUUGAAGACGUUACGGCAUACCUGGGGUACGAUGUGGGGGCCAUGCCCCAUGUACGAACCCUUGCUCUCCAUAACAAGAAGGAGUGGGAUGGCAGUAUACCUGUCGGCAUGGAGUACCUGUUAUGCCUCGAGAAGAUCAAACUGCAUGGGGCCUACUCGAGUGAUGACGCCAUAGUGUCUGCUUUCAGGGGCGCCCUAUUAGUGCACCCAAACCGCCCUUCCAUUGAACAUUGGCAUGUAACAAAGACCUCCUAUGGAUCAAGCGCUGUUAUGCAGGCAGCAAUUCCACCGCCCUCCUUAUGA
rnacentral:rRNA from 1 species